rnacentral:tRNA from 1 species
AGUGAAUAUAGUUUAUUAAAAAAAUUUUAGUCUGUGAAUCUAAAGAUAGGGACUAACUACCCCUUAUUCACCA